rnacentral:lncRNA from 1 species
GCCCCGCGCUCCAGCGGCCGAGCGCGUGCGGCCGCCGAGCACAUGGGCCCGCGGGCCGGGCGGACUCGGGCGGCCUGGACCGGGAGGAACAGCGAGGGGCGGCGAGCGAGGCUGGGUCCCGGCACGCCCCCGGAGCCCCCCGAGUGGAUUUCCACGCGGAAAGGAUGGUGGCCGUCCGGGUGACCUGCGGAGACACGGCCGGAUCCACCUUCCAGCCUGAUCUUUUGAUCAGGGAGGAAUUCAAAAGAAUGCCCCCUUGUGAUGGCUGCGCUGUCAAGUACAUGGAGCUUCCCUCGAGGAUUUUCUGAGCCUUGUGGAUGUACCGUGAGCCUCGCUGCCUGGGGAGUAAGGCGGCGGAAGCAGUCUCUGGGGGGACCCAUGCCCGCAGCAUUUCUGGAUGCUAAAGGUGGCUUUAAGGAAGGCCCAGCUGAGUGCCUCGUGGAUUCCUGCAGCCUGGAUGCCUGCGGGGGACAGAAGACCGAUGCUUCCUGCCCUCAUCACCCAGGAAUGUCGGGAGGGGGCUCCGCCAAUUCCCUGAAGGGCUCCCAGUGAAACAAAUGGUGCCACCCUUGGUUGAUCAGCUGGGGCUGAGAGGAGAAGGCGAUGAUGGAAUGCGAGUGAAGCUCAACAUCUCAGCAUUUUCCAGGAGCAAUAAACCUUCCUGUGAUGGCUGUGGUGUAAUCUGAAAAAAAGCAGAUCCGUUCAGAACUCCAGAAGGACUUGAAAACUGUCCUGCCCCGAACGAAAGCUGGAAUAUCGUGGGCUUUGAUGAACCAAGGAAAAGUGCCUUCAUCAGGACGCAGCAGUAAGCCUGCUGACUACUUAAGCCCUGCCUAGGUUCCUAGGAAAUGGGCAGGAAAAGUGCCUGCCACCUGCUGCUUGCUGGUGUGCUGUUUUGGCAGCAGGAGCUGUGGGAACACACAGGGGCAGGAGAACAAACACAUUACACACGAGGACUUCCAUCCUCCAGCCAGCAAGGUGCCGACACCUCACACUUGACACCUGCUGAGCGCCCUACUGUGUGCCCCGCCCCCCUGAACGAGGCAGCCUCGGAGCUUGGAUCCUAGUUGGAGAGACAGGCAAUUAGCAGGAUGGCAGAUCCACAUCCAGGAUCCUGGGAAGCACUUGACAGAGGGGAGGAGCCCAGCAAUAACACUGACCAAAGAGAAGUGAAUCCUUUUGCCCAGUGACUGGAAGACACAAGAAAGUGGUGGGGGGUGGGAGGCAGGGGGGAAGGAGCCUGGCACCUUGCCACGCUUCCCCUGUAAGGAGCACACACCCUCUCCCCCACCCCCUCCCCCCAAACACAUAAUACCUUUUAACUGGUGAUUUGGUCACUGCUGUGCUAUCUUCAUUGAAUGUGGUUUUGAGAGAAUGGUUGGUCUGGAAAUUUUAUUUUCAAUUAAACUUCCUUGUGGAACU